GCCGAUGUAGCUCAGUGGUAGAGCAACGGUUUCGUAAACCGUAGGUCGUGGGUUCAAUCCCCACCAUCGGCUCCA
rnacentral:tRNA from 1 species